AAAUCCCUCUAUGGGCUAAGACAAGCAUCCAGACAAUGGUAUGUCAAGUUGUCUUCUGAUCUUUAUUCCAGAGGGUACAGACAUUCUUUGAAUGACUAUUCUUUGUUCAUCAAAGGUAAACCUGGCUCCCUUGUGGUGGUGGCAGUCUAUGUGGAUGAUAUUAUCCUUACUGGGGAUGACAGUGAUGAAAUUACUGCCCUAAAACUGUUUCUUGAUGAUCAGUUCAAGAUUAAAGAUUUAGGAUCCUUGCAUUAUUUUUUGGGUCUUGAAAUGUCAGUUGCUCCUGGUGGAAUGAUCCUAAAUCAGCAUAAGUAUAUUUCUGAUUUACUGCAUCAGUUUGAUUGUAUAAAUGUCUCCUCUGUUGUGUCUCCUUUGGACAUUAAUGUCAAACUUCAUGCUGAUUAUGGUGACCUUUUAUCAUCUCCUUACCAGUACAGGAGUCUAGUUGGUAAGAUGCUGUUCCUGACUCAUACUAAGAAUUAUGGUAACCUUUUAUCAUCUCCUGGCCAGUACAGGAGUCUAGUUGGUAAGAUGUUGUUCCUGACUCAUACUAGGCCUGACAUAUGUUUUGCAGUCCAAUAUCUGAGUCAAUUCCUCAAAUGCCCCAGACUUCCCUAUAUGACUCCUGCCCUGCAUGUUCUGAGAUACCUUAAGGGCACUCCCUCCUUGGGUUUAUUUUAUUCUGCUCAUG
rnacentral:lncRNA from 1 species